GCGCGAGUGGCGGAAUUGGCAGACGCGCUGGAUUUAGGUUCCAGUACCCGUUGCGGUGUGGGGGUUCAAGUCCCCCCUCGCGCA
rnacentral:tRNA from 1 species